rnacentral:rRNA from 1 species
CGGAAGGGUGAGGAACGCGUGAGUAAUCUGCCCCUCAGUUGGGAAUAACAGUUGGAAACGACUGCUAAUACCGAAUGUGGCUUAGGUUCCGCAUGGGACUUUGGCUAAAGAUUUAUCGCUGAGGGAUGAGCUCGCGUCCCAUUAGGUAGUUGGUGAGGUAACGGCUCACCAAGCCGACGAUGGGUAGCUGGUCUGAGAGGAUGGUCAGCCUCACUGGGACUGAGACACUGCCCAGACUCCUACGGGAGGCUGCAGUCGAGAAUCUUGGGCAAUGCGCGAAAGCGUGACCCAGCAAUGCCGCGUGUAUGAUGAAGGCCCUCGGGUCGUAAAAUACUGUCUCCCGUGACGAAAUUUGACGGUAGCGGGGAAGGAAGCCACGGCUAACUACGUGCCAGCAGCCGCGGUAAUACGUAGGUGGCGAGCGUUGUUCGGAUUUAUUGGGCGUAAAGGGUCUGUAGGAGGUUUGUUAAAUACGGGGUGAAAUCCGGAAGCUCAACUUCCGAAUUGCCCUGUAGACUGACGGACUGGAGUACCGGAGAGGUAAGCGGAAUACCAGGUGUAGCGGUGGAAUGCGUAGAUAUCUGGUAGAACACCAAAAGCGAAGGCAGCUUACCGGACGGAAACUGACUCUGAAAGACGAAAGCAUGGGGAGCAAACAGGAUUAGAUACCCUGGUAGUCCAUGCCGUAAACGUUGUCAACUUGAUGUGGGGGGGAUUUAGUCCUCCCCGUAUCGAAGCUAACGCGAUAAGUUGACCGCCUGGGGACUACGGCCGCAAGGCUAAAACUCAAAGGAAUUGACGGGGGCCCGCACAAGCGGUGGAGCAUGUGGCUUAAUUCGAGGCAACGCGAAGAACCUUACCUGGUCUUGAAAUAUAUCGGAUCG